rnacentral:rRNA from 1 species
GCACAUGGUGAAUGCCUUGGCGAUAAGAGGCGAUGAAGGGCGUAGUGAUCUGCGAAAAGCGUUGGCGAGUUGAUGAACGAGCUUUGACCCAACGAUACCCGAAUGGGGGAACCCACCUGCCAUAAGGUAGGUAUCUUUAAGUGAAUACAUAGCUUAAAGAGGCGAACCGGGAGAACUGAAACAUCUAAGUACCCCGAGGAAAAGAAAUCAACCGAGAUUCUCUUAGUAGCGGCGAGCGAACGGGGAUCAGCCUGCAAGUGAUAGCUUGUGUGUUAGUGGAACGGUCUGGAAAGUCCGGCGAUACAGGGUGAUAGCCCCGUACACGAAAUCUAUCCAUGCAUUAUUCGAGUAAGUCGGGACACGUGUUAUCUUGACUGAACAUGGGGGGACCAUCCUCCAAGGCUAAAUAC